rnacentral:rRNA from 1 species
UACGGGGGGAGCAAGCGUUGUUCGGAUUUACUGGGCGUAAAGGGCGCGUAGGCGGUCAGCACAAGUCAGUUGUGAAAUCUCCGAGCUUAACUCGGAAAGGUCAACUGAUACUGUGCGACUAGAGUGCGGAAGGGGCAACUGGAAUUCUUGGUGUAGCGGUGAAAUGCGUAGAUAUCAAGAGGAACACCUGCGGCGAAGGCGGGUUGCUGGGCCGACACUGACGCUGAAGCGACGAAAGCCAGGGGAGCGAACGGG